GCUUAACGCGAAGAACCUUACCCACACUUGACAUGUCUCUUGGGACUUUCAGAGAUGAUUGUCUUCGGUUCGGCCGGGGAGAACACAGGUGCUGCAUGGCUGUCGUCAGCUCGUGUCGUGAGAUGUUGGGUUAAGUCCCGCAACGAGCGCAACCCUUAUCGUAUGUUGCCAGCAUUUAGUUGGGCACUCAUGCGAGACUGCCGGUGAUAAGCCGGAGGAAGGCGGGGACGACGUCAAGUCAUCAUGGCCCUUACGUGUGGGGCUAGAAACGUGCUACAAUGGUGGUUACAGUGGGCAGCGAGGUCGUGAGGCCAAGCUAAUCCCUAAAAGCCAUCUCAGUUCAGAUUGCAGUCUGCAACUCGACUGCAUGAAGUUGGAAUCGCUAGUAAUCGUGAAUCAGCAUGUCACGGUGAAUACGUUCCCGGGUCUUGUACACACCGAGUCGGUGGG
rnacentral:rRNA from 1 species